ensembl:snRNA U2 U2 spliceosomal RNA
AUCGCUUCUCGGCCUUUUGGCUAAGAUCAAGUGUAGGAUCAAAUCUUGUCUCCGCUAGCCAUGUGACCUAUCCGAGGACAUCACUUAGCCCUCCAGGACUUCACUUUUAAAGUGGACUUGCUGAUACUCCC